UACGUAGGGGGCUAGCGUUGUCCGGAAUCAUUGGGCGUAAAGCGCGUGUAGGCGGCCCGGUAAGUCCGCUGUGAAAGUCGGGGGCUCAACCCUCGAAUGCCGGUGGAUACUGUCGGGCUAGAGUACGGAAGAGGCGAGUGGAAUUCCUGGUGUAGCGGUGAAAUGCGCAGAUAUCAGGAGGAACACCCAUUGCGAAGGCAGCUCGCUGGGACGUUCCUGACGCUGAGACGCGAAAGCUAGGGGAGCGAACAGG
rnacentral:rRNA from 1 species